CGGACGGGUGAGUAACACGUGAGUAACCUGCCUUAGACAUUGGGAUAGCCUCGGGAAACCGGGAUUAAUACCAAAUGAAAUCACAUAUGCACAUGCAUAAAUGAUCAAAGCUCCGGCGGUCUAAGAUGGACUCGCGUCCCAUUAGCUAGUUGGUGAGGUAACGGCCCACCAAGGCAAUGAUGGGUAGCCGGGUUGAGAGACCGACCGGCCAGAUUGGGACUGAGACACGGCCCAGACUCCUACGGGAGGCAGCAGCU
rnacentral:rRNA from 1 species